rnacentral:lncRNA from 1 species
UUUUUUCUUUAGAAUAUUAGGUAUAUAAAAAAAAAUUAAAAUAGUUCAAGAAGUUUCUAAGUUCUUCACUGGAAGCAAAUAAUUGUUUAUAGAGUUCUACUCAAGUGCUCUACCAACUAUCAUAUGUUUACUUUGUCUACUGUUAAAAAAUGGUUUUAUUUUUGUAAACUUUAAUUAUUUAAAAGUUGAUCAUUAGCUAAUAGUUUAAAAGCAAAUUAGUUGUCGCAAUCAAGAUUUUGACUAUUUUAAACAAUGCUCUAGAAAAAGCAUCAGCAACAGACAUAUCUUACAAUGCUUUUUCAGCUUAUUAUUGAUUAAAUAGAGGGCCCACACUCAUAAGGCACAUAAGGUGUGGGCUUUAAUUUAGGACAAAAUCUCUGCCCCUCUAUUUUUUUUAAUAUACUGUGUUGAUCCUAUAGAAAGUAAAGUAUGAAGAAAGAGAGUGAUGGAAAAAAAAUACGCUUUAUCUAUAAUUAGUAUUUUUGUAGUUGGUUAAUCUACCAAUUAGUAAUUGA